UACGUAGGUGGCAAGCGUUGUCCGGAUUUACUGGGCGUAAAGGGCUUGUAGGCGGUUUGUUAAGUCUGGUGUGAAAUCUCCCGGCUCAACCGGGAGGGGUCAUCGGAUACUGGCAGACUAGAGACGGGUAGAGGAAAGCAGAAUUCCCGGUGUAGCGGUGAAAUGCGUAGAUAUCGGGAGGAAUACCAGUGGCGAAGGCGGCUUUCUGGGCCUGUUCUGACGCUGAGGAGCGAAAGCGUGGGGGAGCAAACAGG
rnacentral:rRNA from 1 species